rnacentral:misc_RNA from 1 species
AACGCAUAUUGCGCCCGCCAGCACUCUGGCGGGCAUGCCUGUCCGAGCGUCAUUUCCACCCUCAGGCCGCCCCAGGGCGCCUGGCGUUGGGGCUUCUGCGGCGUCUCGCCGCAGGCCCUCAAGACCAGUGGCGGGUCCCUCCGGGGCUCCGAGCGCAGUAGCUUAGUUAUCUCGCUUGGGGGCCUCGGGCGGGUGCCCGGCCGUUAAAAUACAGCGGGGGCCGGGGAGGGGGGCGUCAGCGUCAGCGGCCGCCCCUCCACCCCCCCCCGGACGACCGAAAGGUUGACCUCGGAUCAGGUAGGAAUACCCGCUGAACUUAA